CCUACGGGAGUCAGCAGUGAGGAAUAUUGGUCAAUGGGCGUAAGCCUGAACCAGCCAAGUCGCGUGAGGGAUGAAGGUUCUAUGGAUCGUAAACCUCUUUUAUAAGGGAAUAAAGUGUGGGACGUGUCCUGUUUUGUAUGUACCUUAUGAAUAAGGAUCGGCUAACUCCGUGCCAGCAGCCGCGGUAAUACGGAGGAUCCGAGCGUUAUCCGGAUUUAUUGGGUUUAAAGGGUGCGUAGGCGGCCUUUUAAGUCAGCGGUGAAAGUCUGUGGCUCAACCAUAGAAUUGCCGUUGAAACUGGGAGGCUUGAGUAUGUUUGAGGCAGGCGGAAUGCGUGGUGUAGCGGUGAAAUGCUUAGAUAUCACGCAGAACCCCGAUUGCGAAGGCAGCCUGCCAAGCCAUUACUGACGCUGAUGCACGAAAGCGUGGGGAUCAAACAGGAUUAGAUACCCGGGUAGUC
rnacentral:rRNA from 1 species